rnacentral:lncRNA from 1 species
GGGAGGGAUCUCACUGACGUCGUCCCAAGCCAGAGGCCAGGUAGCUUAACCUGCUGUCAUGCUGAACUGUCUCGAGAAGCAGCCAGGCUCUGCGUGGCUCCGGUGAAUUGAUUGCUCCGUGCUCUGUCAGUGAGAGGCAGCCUGGUUCUCUGCACGACCUCGGGUUGGCCUCUGCUGCCUGAGCCAUCACAGCUCCACCUCCCAGAUGUGCUCCGUUGGCUGCAGAGGAUGCACAGAAGGUAACGAGGCCGAGAGGAGGGCGAUGCGCCGGACUGCUGCCCUGCGGGAGCAAGAGCAGAUAUGGCACAAACAGUUUUUUUUUUAAUGGAUGCAGGAACAGCAACACUUUUGCACUUUGUACCUAGCAUUGGACAACAUUGGAGAAUGAAAUGGCCCCAGCACAGGACUCCUGCUGUUACUUUACCCCCCCUCCCCCCCUCCCUGGGGCAGGCGGUCGUGGUGAGCUGGGGGACGUGGGAUGGUUGAGCACAGCAACACACAGCACCGGACUGCACCUCACGCUGCCUGGGAGCAAGGUCAGUUACAGAGAUGGGUGCUUACCCACGCAGCACAGGACCUGCCAUGGACCUGUAAGGACCGUGCCAGCUCUGCUCUGGUUUUUACCCCUGCGUUGAGCUCCUUCCCAGACGGACUCGUGCACACAGAUCAUACAGCUGUAGCUGUUGGGCCGCUGCAGCCCCGAGCUGCGGGUGGUGGCAAUGGGUCACCACCCCCUGCCAGCCUGCCUGGUGUGUAAGCCGUGUGCUGGCACCAACCCAUCAGCAUCCAGCGCUGCUUCUUUCGUUAGAUCUGAGCUGGAAGACCGUUCACUUUGGAAUAAAAGCAUGAAGCUCGACACGUAGGUAGCCAAAUAGCUUCUUUUCCAAUGUAUUCCCACCUGUGCAUAACGAGAGACUUGACCCUGUGAGUAUGAGAAGUACCUCGCUCCAAUCUGUUGUUACGAGCAAAGGGCAUCCUAGCCAGACUUCGGGCUCCAAGGAAGACACAGCCUUUCUUUUUAACUGUGAUCUGUAUGUCGUGCACGUGAGGUUUUCCUAACCGUGCUGAGAGGCACCGGGUGUGUGUUGGGGGUGAGACGGACGCAACGCUUUCACUGCUCGAGUCGUUCUGCUCUGCAGGAUCGGUGUCCGAUGGCGACGCACCCUCAGCACGAGGCUGUUGGAUGCCCAAGCCUUACACCUUCCCAUUGUCGCCCUUGGGGAAGGUGUGGGUUCAGAGCACCAGAGCUGGAGAUGGGAUCACGGGAGGCGGUGUGAAAGCAAAGCACCGGGGCUGCGUGCUGCUGACGGCUGUGAUUUCUCCCAGCUGCAAUCCCUCGGUGCUCGCGUGGCACAGCACUGUUGUUCUGGAGCUCUUCCCCCUCCCUCCUCCUAACUUAGAAGAGAUAAUUUAAAGAUGCUUCGUGCUGGAAGGAGACCCCUCACUUUCUGCUUCGUUACCCUGCUUGCUCCUUAGAGACCCGUCCCACUCUCGGCCAGGAUGAGUAGUUUGGGGUUCCUCAUUGGCAACGUGUUUGAUUAAGUCUUAACUUUCAGAGGAUUGGUGCUAGAGAUUUUCUGGAAAUCAGGUUUAGGGGCGUUCCUUAAACACCCAAAAACGAUACUCUAGGAAAGCAUUCAUUAAAUACUGAUCCCUGCAGCUGGUGGAAAGCCGUGAUGGGGUUCAGUCCCAGUAACUUCCAGGUGGUGACAGCGUUCUUACCCGGUCCCUUCUCACGUACAGCCCCAUCAGCAGCAGGCACAAUGGGAUCUUCCUCCCGGUGUGAGAUGUUUUCAGCUCCCUUCUUCUCCUGAUACACCCAUCUUUGCAUGAGAUGCUGCCAUGCCCUUGCACCGCGGUGCUGGCUGAUAUCACAGCAGCUCUGCUCCGCUGUCCCUGCAUGCUCUGUUGUGUUGGGGUUGGCUUUGGAGGAGCAGAGCAGCCCGGGAUGUCCCAGAGGUGUGCAAGGAUUUCUCUGUCUGUGCCUUCCGUUGCCCUCUCCCUCCCACCUUUUGGCUUUGAGUCUGUAAGUCUAAAGGGAAGCUGGUAAUGACGUCUUUCAAACCCAGCAGUGAGCAGACUGCAAGCGUGGUGUACUUACUGAGGGACUCACAGCACCAACCAGAGGCUUCCUCCCCGCUGGGUUUAGGGCUCUGCAGUGCAGAACAGACCCGGAGGUGGAUGGCAGCCCCAUGCCUGGCUCGGGUGACGUUGGAUGCAAAGUGGGCAUCGUGGGGAUCGGCUUAGCCCAACUGUAUCCAUGAGAAAAGCCUCCCCACCUGUGCUGUUUGGUCAGGAAGCAAUGAAGCCCGAAGUUACACCUAGCCCUGUCCUUCCUCUUCUACGUGCAGCGUUUGGAAUCUGUCCGUGUCUGUAUGGUGUAUGGAGUUUCGGUUUUGGACGCGUGUGAGUGUGUCUAUGGAUACAUAUCUGCAGUACGUGUGCUUCCAUCCGUGUUUAUACGCACACAGUCGGGCGUUGCAAGCUGGAGCAGUGAGAUGUGGUCCGAGAGCGAGGUGGAAACUCAGGGGGGGAGGGGGGGGAAGGGGGGGUCGAAUCAACGUUUCUCUUUGCUUUGGUUUUUAAUUGGACCUCGUGCUUGAAUUCUUCCUCGCUGCACACUAAGAGCAGCGAAGGCAGAUUGCCGGUGCUGCAUUCCCUCUCCAUACCUGGGGGGAAAGUGUAGCGUUGAGUUCCGGGCUGGAAUCCCAUUGCUGGUCCCCGGAGAGGUGAGGUCCUCUCUCCAACCCACCCGUAGGUGAUCAAUCCCUCUUAUUACAGCGUGCCACGGCCCAGCCGGGCGCUGCGAGCUCUGAGCACAGGGUUGGCAGGUUCCAAAACCGUUCACAAGGAGGGUUUGGGCUGCGAUUUUACCUCUGCAUGGCAAAUUGCAAAAAGAAACCUUCGGUCGGGGCAGCCGUGCGUCGUUAGCUAAUUAUGGACAGUGCCUUAGCUUCUCUCCAGGAUUAUGCACCGUUUCUAUAGGUCUGAGCUGAAGCGGGAGCCUCCAGAAGCACAUGCCGUGCGUUAAACCAUCUCUGCAAAUGCGUUUCGGUGGUGUGGCUGAAGUUGGCAGGCCGCAGGGAGUGAGGAGGUGAUCUCUGGGUGAUGGUUUCCCUCCGUGGCAGCUGCCGGCGGUGCCAUCCGAUGGGCCGUUCCCAGGACCCCGAGCAGCUCUUGCUACGUACGUAUGCACAGAAACCUCCUGCCGGAUGGAUCGUGAGCAACGAAGCCCCAACGUGUUCACUUAUCUCACCCAGAGCUCACUUACCUCACUGCUGGAAGGGCAUUACGGUACCGCUCCGACCUCUCCAUCGAGCGUUGUACAAAGGUUGACCCUUUCCCAAUGACUGUUACCUGUCGCCUUUUCCCAGCCUGUGUAUAAAGAUGUUGGUGAGAUGCACUGCGUGCAAAAUGUCUUUUUGUGUCUCUCCGUGGGAGCUGUGGGGGCAUCUCCGCGUAAAGGGCGCAUUCUCCCCCCGUCUCUUUAUUAUUUCCCCAUCUGUUUGGACAGAUGUCGACUAUUAAAAACCUUUUCUGGGCGGCUCCGUUCUCCUUGCUGGUUGUUCAGAGCUCUCUGAAAGCUGCGGGGCUGCCCUGGCCGAGCUGUAAGGGAUCUCCCAUUGUUGGUGGGUUCUGAUAACAGCGGUGACUUCUCGCCGCUGUCCGGUGCUGCGUCUCCCGGUCCUCAUGGAACCCAACUCGGGAUGGGACAUCCCAGAUGGAGCCACGCAUCCCCCAGGGGCUCUGAAUGGCUGUCGGCACCUCGCAGUGACUCCCAGUGGCCCUCGGUGGCUCUUGGUGGCUCUUGGUGGCUCUUGGUGGCUCUUCGUGGCUCCUAGUGGCUCCCAGUGGCUCUCAAUCACGCUCAGUGGCACCCAGUAGCUCUUGGUGGCUCUCAAUUGCUCCCAGUGGCACCCAAUGGCCCCCCGAAGCUCUUGGUGGCCCUCAGUGGCUCCCAGUGGCCCCCUGUAGCUCUCAGUGGCUCUCACUGACCCUCAGUUGCUCUCAGUGACUCUCAGUGGCCCCCAGUAGCUCUCAGUGACUCCCAGUGGCUCUCAAUUGCUCUCAGUGGCUCCCGGUGGCUCUUGGUGGAUCUCAGUUACUCUCAGUGGCUCCUAAUGGCCCCCCAUAGCUCUUGCUGCCUCUCAGUGGCUCUCAAUCACUCCCAAUGGCUCUCAG